AUCGUUUUCUUAGAAUAUGUGGCAAGAUACAAGUAAGAAAUUAUCCAUGGCUAAUCUUAGUUUUCGAAGAAUUGACCACCAUUAUGUUUUUCACAAAUGAAAAGAAGUAUUUCUCGAAAGCAUCAGAUCUAAGACUUAUGGAAAUUUUCGAGGUUCGUCAUUUAUAUAGACUUAUAUCAAUAUAUAAUAUUCUACGAAAAACAAUAUACUUUCAUACAUUCCAUAGAGAUCAU